rnacentral:rRNA from 1 species
UACGGGGGGAGCAAGCGUUGUUCGGAUUUACUGGGCGUAAAGGGCGCGUAGGCGGCCACCGCAAGUCGACUGUGAAAUCUCCGGGCUUAACUCGGAAAGGUCAGCCGAUACUGCGGGGCUAGAGUGCAGAAGGGGCAACUGGAAUUCUCGGUGUAGCGGUGAAAUGCGUAGAUAUCGAGAGGAACACCUGCGGCGAAGGCGACGUCCUGGACCGGCAUUGACGCUGAGGCGCGAAAGCCAGGGGAGUAAACGGG